ACAACGAAGAGUUUGAUCCUGGCUCAGGAUGAACGCUAGCGGCAGGCUUGACACAUGCAAGUCGAGGGGUAACAUUGAAGCUUGCUUCAGAUGACGACCGGCGAACGGGUGCGUAACGCGUAUGCAACCUACCUUUCACAGGGGGAUAGCCAUUAGAAAUGAUGAUUAAUACCCCAUACGAUCUCAGAUCAGCAUUGGACUGAGAAGAAAACUCCGGUGGUGAAAGAUGGGCAUGCGUCCUAUUAGUUAGUUGGAGAGGUAACGGCUCACCAAGACAUCGAUAGGUAGGGGCCUUGAGAGGGGGGUCCCCCACACUGGUACUGAGACACGGACCAGACUUCUACGGGAGGCAGCAGUGAGGAAUAUUGGACAAUGGAGGAAACUCUGAUCCAGCCAUGCCGCGUGCAGGAUGACAGCUUUAUGAGUUGUAAACUGCUUUUAUUCAGGAAGAAACCUCAGCACGUGUGCUGAGUUGACGGUACUGUUUGAAUAAGGAUCGGCUAACUCCGUGCCAGCAGCCGCGGUAAUACGGAGGAUCCAAGUGUUAUCCGGAAUUAUUGGGUUUAAAGGGUCCGUAGGCUGUCUGAUCAGUCAGGGGUGAAAUCCUACAGCUCAACUGUAGAAUGGCCUUUGAUACUGUCAGACUUGAGUUAUUGUGAAGUAAUUAGAAUGUGUAGUGUAGCGGUGAAAUGCAUAGAUAUUACACGGAAUACCGAUUGCGAAGGCAGAUUACUAACAAUAUACUGACGCUGAGGGACGAAAGCGUGGGUAGCGAACAGGAUUAGAUACCCUGGUAGUCCACGCCGUAAACGAUGGAUACUAACUAUUUGAUGCACAUUGGUGUGUUGAGUGGUCAAGCGAAAGUGAUAAGUAUCCCACCUGGGGAGUACGCUCGCAAGAGUGAAACUCAAAGGAAUUGACGGGGGCCCGCACAAACGGUGGAGCAUGUGGUUUAAUUCGAUGAUACGCGAGGAACCUUACCAGGACUUCAAUGUAUGUUGCAUGGGGCAGAGAUGUCCCUUUCUUCGGACUACAUACAAGGUGUUGCAUGGUUGUCGUCAGCUCGUGCCGUGAGGUGUCAGGUUAAGUCCUAUAACGAGCGCAACCCCUGUUGCUAGUUGCCAGCGAGUCAUGUCGGGGACUCUAGCGAGACUGCCGGUGUAAACCGUGAGGAAGGUGGGGAUGACGUCAAAUCAUCAUGGCCCUUACGUCCUGGGCUACACACGUGCUACAAUGGUCGGUACAAUAAGCAGCCACUUUGCGAAAAGGAGCUAAUCUAUAAAGCCGAUCCCAGUUCGGAUCGCAGUCUGCAACUCGACUGUGUGAAGUUGGAAUCGUUAGUAAUCGGAUAUCAGCCAUGAUCCGGUGAAUACGUUCCCGGGCCUUGUACACACCGCCCGUCAAGCGAUGAAAGUCUGGAGUACCUGAAGUCGGUGACCGAAAGGAGCUGCCUAAGGUAAAACGGAUGAUUGGCGCUAAGUCGUAACAAGGUAGCCGUACCGGAAGGUGCGGCUGGAACAUCUCCUUU
rnacentral:rRNA from 1 species